GUCCACGCUGUAAACGUUGGGCGCUAGGUGUGGGGGCCUCUCCGGUUCUCUGUGCCGCAGCUAACGCAUUAAGCGCCCCGCCUGGGGAGUACGGCCGCAAGGCUAAAACUCAAAGGAAUUGACGGGGCCCGCACAAGCGGCGGAGCAUGCGGAUUAAUUCGAUGCAACGCGAAGAACCUUACCUGGGUUGACAUGGCCGCAAAAACUGUCAGAGAUGGCAGGUCCUUGGGGCGGUCACAGGUGGUGCAUGGCUGUCGU
rnacentral:rRNA from 1 species